AUUGAACGCUGGCGGCAUGCCUUACACAUGCAAGUCGAGCGGCAGCGCGGGGGCAACCCUGGCGGCGAGCGGCGAACGGGUGAGUAAUGCAUCGGAACGUGUCCUCUUGUGGGGGAUAACCAGUCGAAAGACUGGCUAAUACCGCAUGAGAUCGAGAGAUGAAAGCGGGGGACCGCAAGGCCUCGCGCGAGAGGAGCGGCCGAUGUCGGAUUAGCAGUUGGCGGGGUAAUGGCCCACCAAGGCGACGAUCCGUAGCUGGUCUGAGAGGACGACCAGCCACACUGGGACUGAGACACGGCCCAGACUCCUACGGGAGGCAGCA
rnacentral:rRNA from 1 species